CCUACGGGUGGCAGCAGUGGGGAAUAUUGGACAAUGGGCGAAAGCCUGAUCCAGCCAUGCCGCGUGUGUGAAGAAGGCCUUCGGGUUGUAAAGCACUUUCAGUGGGGAAGAAAGCCUUGGGGCUAAUACCCUCGAGGAAGGACAUCACCCACAGAAGAAGCACCGGCUAACUCCGUGCCAGCAGCCGCGAUAAUACGGAGGGUGCGAGCGUUAAUCGGAAUUACUGGGCGUAAAGCGCGCGUAGGCGGUCUGAUAAGCCGGUUGUGAAAGCCCCGGGCUCAACCUGGGAACGGCAUCCGGAACUGUCAGGCUAGAGUGCAGGAGAGGAAGGUAGAAUUCCCGGUGUAGCGGUGAAAUGCGUAGAGAUCGGGAGGAAUACCAGUGGCGAAGGCGGCCUUCUGGACUGACACUGACGCUGAGGUGCGAAAGCGUGGGUAGCAAACAGGAUUAGAUACCCUUGUAGUC
rnacentral:rRNA from 1 species